CAUGCCCCUUAUACGCUGGGCUACACACGUGCUACAAUGGGUAGAACAGAGAGUCGCAAAGCCGUGAGGUGGAGCUAAUCUCAGAAAACUAUUCUUAGUUCGGAUUGUACUCUGCAACUCGAGUACAUGAAGUUGGAAUCGCUAGUAAUCGCGAAUCAGCAAUGUCGCGGUGAAUACGUUCUCGGGUCUUGUACACACCGCCCGUCACACCACGAGAGUUGGUUGCACCUGAAGUAGCAGGCCUAACCGUAAGGAGGGAUGCUCCGAGGGUGUGAUUAGCGAUUGGGGUGAAGUCGUAACAAGGUAUCCGUACGGGAACGUGCGGAUGGAUCACCUCCUUUCUAAGGAGACAAUGUCUUUCUCUAUUCUAUUGGUAAUGUUCUUACAUUACUUCUGAACAUUGGAAACUAUAUAGUAGAACAAAAAUAACUCUAAACAAUUUCUUAGAGUUAGCUGUCAAAAAAAUAGAUUAAAAUAAUUAAGGGCACACAAAGGAUGCCUAAGUAGUAAGAGCCGAUGAAGGACGUGGUAAGCUGCGAUAAGCCUAG
rnacentral:sRNA from 1 species